GGCGGCAUGGCCGCCUCGUUGAGAUGAUUGCACUCGUCGCUGCACUUGCACGACUGGAUGAACAUGACGGCUCUCGUGAAGCGUUCGCCGUCGGGGCAGGCGAAAGUAACGCUGGAGGUGCGCGUACGACGAGGAGCGGCCCUCUGCCUUUGCUGGAAAUGGGAAAGAUGAGUGGAUUCGAUUCAAAAUGAGAGUACAAGAGGCGUCUUUAGUAAGUGUGCACCAAGUGAGGACAGACACACUAUCUCCUAAUUUGUGAACCAAAUUCUAUUCUUAGCCCUGAAAGGAAUUUUGUUUACAAUGUCCGUUCCUCUUCACUCUUUCAGUGGGACUCCCCCAUACAACACCCCGGAUACCCCCCUAUAUAUAUAUAGAAACACCCCCAAAUAAACACACACAUAUAAAAAUACCACUCUGUGUGCGUGCGUGUUUGUGUGUUUCAUGAGGCUGUUUGUGUACACACUGAACUACUUAUAUAAAUCCCGGACUUGGCCGGUUUUCAGUGUGCUGCUCAUGAAGGUGCUCUGUUUUUCAAAGGUGGCUCUGGCUUCAAACCUCAAGCCUCCUAUCAAAGAGAAACUCCAGCCGUUUGGCUCGGGAGCCAGAUUCCCCUCCCUGAAGUUACACAUUCCCUUACACAACCCUGAAGUCAGAGCCAAUCUGGGCCCGAUCUAAAGCCAAAACCGCUCUCCGCAGUGGCCGUUAAACCGCUUCUUGGGUACCCACCCCUGCAGAUGCCAUAGGUACGGCCAACAUCAUUGCCAUAGUUGCACUCCAGGCCUUUAUGGUGGUCGCAGGGAUGUCCUUCAUGGCAGUCCUGGUUCAGCUGUGCGGCGCACACUUUGCAGCAACCGCAUCCAUCCGGGACAGAACUGACCCCAGGGGGACAGGACGGCGGCCCGGCCGGACACUCGCACACCACCGGACACUCUGCAGUCACCUAUAUGCAAAAAAAAAGGGAUGAACUCGUUUUCAAAACUGUUUCCAGGCAAUGAGGAGAUACAUUAGAAGCUCACAGGACAAUAGAUAGACUCGUGUUACACACAUCAUAGAAAUUCCUCAAAGUGUACAAGGCUAAGCAUUGGCUGAAUACCCAGCUCUGUCCGGAGCUCCGCAGGGAUAUCUGGAACCCUCUGUCACCUUCCGCCCGGCAUUUGGUGGCUGAUCAUGGAUGAAAGCGAGGUUCUCUGACCCCUGUACACCCCCACCACCUCACUGCUGCUACAUCUUUUUUUAUAUGUAUUUUUUUUUAUAUAUAUUUUUUUUUAGUGCCACCCUUAGGGACAUUUCUGUGUUAUACAAGGCAGAUUUAUUUUAAUAUACACCACAUUAAUUAAUAUGAUAUUUUUCUUUUCUAUUGGGAGGAAGUCAAUGCGUAAAUUGUGGACACUAUGUAGCUUCCGGCGUCCGGCCUCUGUUUUGCAAACUAUACGUCAGUCAGGUGAUGCAUAAACGAUUAUUAUAGCUGCUCGAUUUCAUUGUCCCUGUUCCGAAAAAGCAUAAUAAAGAUAGAAUAACAAACAGGACAAAAUAAUAAAGCUCCCACACUUACCAAAGCGACUGCAAGCGCUUGCAUGACAGCAAGGAACAGCAGUAUCCCCAUGCUGUCAGCUGAUUCACAUAGAAGACGACAAGCAGGACUUGUUAGAAAAGAAUAAAUCCUCUUCCGCUUUAGCAAUAGCGUUUGUCCUCAAAAGAUUAAAUUCCCUUAACAGUCACGAAACAUCCUCCAUCACAUGUUAAAUGUCAUCGAUCAAAGUUUCAAGGCAAGGUUUUAUAUGAGCGCGGUGUUUUUUUUUUUUUAAUAGUAGCCACGCCCACUGCUGCUCCGCUAACCAAUUAGCAUAGAGGCGCGCUCGAAAGCGUCAAAGCCAGACGUGCACCGGACUGAAAGGGGGCACGGCCAUGCAUGAAUGCGGUCAUUCAUAAAAUUCAGAAUUACUACAUUCCAAAGACGACCCGGCCUUUGGGUGUUUAUUUAUUAUCAGGUAGCAAUAAUAUUUUUACUGCUUUAAUGUUCUUUUCACACGCAUAGCUUCUGGCCACCUGAUGUUUUUGUCACAUGACAUGAAGACAGUACAGGACUUUGGUCAUAAAAAUCCAAAUCUAUUAACUCCC